rnacentral:rRNA from 1 species
AUCCGGAGGAAUACCAGUGGCGCAAGCGGCGCUCUGGGUCGAGCCUGACACUGAGACGCGAAGGCAUGGGGAGCGAACGGGAUUAGGAGCCCCGGUAGUCCAUGCAGUGAGCGAUGCAGACUGGGUGUGGGUAGCGCAAGCUAUCUGUGCCGAAGCCAACGCGCUUCUCAAUCUGCCGCCUGGGUCUCAAUACGGUCGCAAGACUAGAGCUCGAGGGAAUUGACGGGGGCCCGCACAAGCAGCGGAGAUCUCAAUGGUUUAAUUCGAGGCUACACGAAGAACCUUACCUAGGGUAGACAUGUAGGUGGUAGUGAACCGGAGGGCUUAUGUGACGCUUCGGCGAGCCUACACAGGUGCUGCAUGGUUGUAAACAGCUAAAGCAAAGAGGUGUUCGGUUUCUCAAUCCGAGAGCGAGCGCAACCCUCGGGGUGAAAUACAGGUGUCGCACGCGACUGCCAAAGAGGAGCGGGAGGAAGGUGGGGAUGAAAACGAGUCAGCAUGGCCUUUAUCUCUAGGGCUACACACACGCUACAAUGGACGGUACAGUGAAAUGCGAAGGCGCGAGCCGGAGCCAAUCGAGGAGGCAAAUCGUCUCAAUUCGGAUUGCAGGCUGCAACCCGCCUGCAUGAAGCUGGAGUUGCUAGUAACCGCGAAACAGCCAUAGUGCGGUGAAUAAAAUCCCGGGCCUUGUACACACCGCCAAACAAAACAUGGGAGCUAGUCACGCCUGGAGUCGGGGAGCCAACCGCAAGGAAGCAA